rnacentral:sRNA from 1 species
GUUGGGUGUGGUGGUGCAUGCCUGUAAUCCCAGCUACUCUGGAGGCUGAGGCAGAGGACCAGUUUUGGCAACUUAGUGAGAGACUCUGUCUCAA